rnacentral:rRNA from 1 species
GAUGAACGCUGGCGGCGUGCAUAACACAUGCAAGUCGAACGAAGUGGCGAACGGGUGAGUAACACGUGAGUAACCUGCCUUACACAAGGGGAUAGCCUUUGGAAACGAAGAAUAAUACCCUAUAGGGUAAGAUGGACUUGGGUCUGAUUAGCUAGUUGGUGAGAUAAAAGCCCACCAAGGCGACGAUCAGUAGCCGGCGUGGGAGGGUGUACGGCCACAGUGGGACUGAGACACGGCCCAAACUCCUACGGGAGGCAGCAGUGGGGAAUUUUGCACAAUGGGGGAAACCCUGAUGCAGCGACGCCGCGUGAUUUAGAAGGCCUUCGGGUUGUAAAGCUCUGUUAAUCGGGACGCGGUACCGGAAUAGAAAGCCACGGCUAACUACGUGCCAGCAGCCGCGGUAAUAC